rnacentral:tRNA from 1 species
GCUCUCGUGGCCCAGUUGGUUAGUGCGUCGUACUUAUAAGCAGUGCAGGAGUAUAUGCGAAGGUCGAGGGUUCGAUCCACUCCGGGAGCA